UAAGCUGAUGCGAACUAGUCCUAGGAAUCGACUUGCUCCUUAUACGAAUGGAGGCUCGAGGUCGUUCAAAAGCUAUGUUGAAAGACAUGAUGAAGAGAGAUUUUGAGCCAGAAUGACUUGACUGGGAAUGUGAGUCUAUGAUAGUGUGGGAAUAAUGGGUACUUGACCAGAUAACUGAGAGAUGGGCGCACAGGGGAUGGCGUUGAUUUUGAAAAAGUAGAGAAAGGCAAAGAUGAGGUUGAAUGUGAAGAGAUGAAAGCGAAAUGGCGGUGAUGUUGGGGCAUUUUUCGAGCUAGAAGGAGGUCCGUGCGCCAAGUGUACGAUGACUUGCACUGAUGGUUGGGGUUGGCUGGGGCGACUGCUGGCGAAAGCGU
rnacentral:sRNA from 1 species